UCUGAUAAAACCACCUCUUCAGGCAGAGAAUUCCAUAUCCUUAUAGCUCUAACUGUAAAAAAAACCUUUUAUUUGCCUUAGAUGAAAUCUCCUUUCUUCCAGCCUAAAUGUGUGACCUUGUGUCCUAUGUAUAGCCCGGUUUAUGAAUAGAUUUCCAAAUAAUGGUUUGGACUGACCACGAAUAUAUUUGUAUAAUGUUAUCAUAUGCCAUCUGAGGUGCUAUUUUUCCAAGCUAAAGAGAUUUACAGGACCGCUAUAAUGCCAGCAAAACAAACUUGUUUUCCUUGCACUAUGCAGUCAUUUGGUGCCCCCUCACCCUAAUGGCCCCCCUCCCGCUGGGCUGAAGGGGUUAAAACCCCCUCAGCCACUUACCUUUCUCCAGCACCGUGCUCCCUCUGUGCUGGGGAACUCUCCUCCUGCUGACGUCAGCGUUGAAUGCUUUCCUAUGGGCGUCAGCAUCUUCUCCCUGUGAUUUUCAGAGAGACAGCCACUAGAGGCUGGAUUAACCCUCAGUGUAAACAUAGAAACUGCUAUGUGUACAGCUUCAGGGUUAAAACUAGAGGGACCUGGC